rnacentral:rRNA from 1 species
UCUGGUGAUUAUAGCGAAAGUGGUACCACACGUUCCCAUCCCGAACACGACCGUGAAACCUUUCAGCGCUGAUGGUACUUCGUCUUAAGACGUGGGAGAGUAAGUCGUCGCCAGAC